UUUGCGCGCAGAGCAUUGGUGAACCUGGCACUCUUAAAGCCAAAUGACGCUAAAGACUUUUCGUUUUGCUUGUAUGGCAUCAAUGAGCAUCAUACCGACAGCUCCUUUGAUUAAGGAAACCAUUAACGCCUCAAAAGCAACCAGUGCACUUGUUAUGGAUGAUGAAUUUAUGUAUCACGUAAGCUAUAUAAACAAAUACUUUUAUGCUUACAAUGUUUUAUUUUCUUAAUAUAGAUUUAUAAUCAAAUUGGAUCUGGAUUCUGGUUAGAAGAAUAUACCGAAAGAUUAUAACGCCUGGAAGCACGGAAUGGAAUUUCAUAUUUGACUAGUAUUUCCGUGUGUUACGGUAUAAAUUAUUUAAAAAUUGAA